rnacentral:rRNA from 1 species
ACUCCUACGGGAGGCAGCAGUGGGGAAUAUUGCACAAUGGGCGCAAGCCUGAUGCAGCCAUGCCGCGUGUAUGAAGAAGGCCUUCGGGUUGUAAAGUACUUUCAGCAGUGAGGAAGGCGGAGUCGUUAAUAGCGGCCUCGUUUGACGUUAGCUGCAGAAGAAGCACCGGCUAACUCCGUGCCAGCAGCCGCGGUAAUACGGAGGGUGCGAGCGUUAAUCGGAAUUACUGGGCGUAAAGCGCAUGCAGGUGGUUUGUUAAGUCAGAUGUGAAAGCCCGGGGCUCAACCUCGGAAUUGCAUUUGAAACUGGCAGACUAGAGUACUGUAGAGGGGGGUAGAAUUUCAGGUGUAGCGGUGAAAUGCGUAGAGAUCUGAAGGAAUACCAGUGGCGAAGGCGGCCCCCUGGACAAAGACUGACGCUCAGAUGCGAAAGCGUGGGGAGCAAACAGGAUUAGAUACCCUGGUAGCGUCGUC